UCCGAGCUGUCAGCACAGGGCCCGACGUGGGGCUCGAACUCACGAACCGUGAGAUCGUGACCUGAGCCGAAGUCGGAGGCUCAACCGACGGAGCCCCCGCAGGCGCCCCCGUACUCAGAGCUUUCCACUUGGAGCCAAGAGUUUAGAAAUUUUUGUAGGCUGGAGAAUUUUCCUACAAAUGGGGCUGUUCACUUUCAGUUUUAAUAAAUAGUAAUUAGGGGAGCCACCUAUGUCCUGUCUACUUGGGAUUGUGGUUUUAGUUGUGCCCUUCCCUGUGACCAGGUAGAGUCCCUGAAUGAAUUCCCUGUGUGUCUUCCUACAUUUGCCGUACGGUGCCCUGUGAGUGUGGAUGUUGAGUUGCCGUGUGCCCAGGCCCGUUGGACUUUCAGUGGUGAAUAUAUCUCGUUGAAUUCCCUGCCCUGCCUUCCCUCAUGCUUUUGGCCUCGAUCUUAAUCUUGCCUGCCGUUAAUGAUGUCACGCGGCUGUGUGUAUUACUUGGAGUUUGCCUGGUAUAUUUUAGCUUGAUUUUUCUGAGUCUUUUUUUUCUUAUAAACUGUAUUUUGACGUAACUUGAAUCGACCUAGAGGCUGCAAAACUGGUGCUGAGAGUUCCUGGGCACUCCUCUCCCAGCUUCGCCUAAUGAAAACAUCUUCCCUCAUCAGAGCACAGCCACCCAAGCAGGACGCUGGCAUCGGCACGAUAUCAGCAAUGAUGCAUAGACCUUAUUCGAAUGCCACCAGUUUUUCCAAAGCCCCUGCUUUUAGGCACACUCAAGGUUAGGGGCACAGUCUUCCAGAUGGCAAAGUCUGCCCAAGCCUCCCGACACCCACUCCGCGGUCUGAGGGCCCCCCAAGCCGCCCUCAGGUUGGACAGUUCCCUGAAGAGACAGAACUCACCGAAACCUGUUAGACUGUUGGUCAAGCUUGUUACGGGGGAGGAUACACAUUAGCGCCAGCCGCGGGGUGGACCGGCAGUGUUCCAAGAACAGAGUUUCUGGUCAUCCUCACUGAGCCUGACGGUGGUCUUGGGGACCCCUGCCAUCAGUCCUGGGAAACUUGAUCACAUGUAGAGAUUGACGUGACCCUCGCUACCGCCAGGAUCCAGAACUGUCCCAUUUGCUUCCCAAACUCCUUCCUGCUCCCCCUCUUCCAGUCCCGCCCUCCUAACGCUGACCCCUGACAACCUGUCAUCCGCUCUGUCACCUUGUCACUUCAAGGAUGUUAGUAUAGUUGGAUUGCAGAGUGAUAUUAGUUCCAUGUGUACAAGACGGUGACUCAGCACUUCUGUACGUCACCCCGUGCGUCUCAUGCAAGGUGUUGCCGUGCGGUCUCCAGAGCUCAGCCGGAGAGGUUGGGGUGGACGUGGGCCCGGGCCCAGGCUUCCUGCCGGUUUCCCAAGAAGCAGAUCAGAGAGCCCGGAGGUGAGGGGCGAGGACCCGGGAGCCGAGGACCAGGACUUCCCCUCCCGGGAGGGACGGAUGUCCGUGCAGCUCCACAGGACCACCCCUUCCUUCCAGGGGGCUCAGGGCUGGGGUGGGGGUGCGCUACCCCCUCCGGCAGUAACAGGACCCUCCCCCCAUCCAUCCUGAGGGCAGAGACCCCCCACCCCGGCCUCGUGCUCCGAGCAGUCGUGUCCAGCACCUCAGACCAGACCGUGUCAUGACCUGUGGCCAUGACCUACGCCGGCCUCCCCACCUGCUGGCUCCCACCACCAGGUGACAUUGCCUCCUGGGACAGGACAGGGCUAUAGCUGCAUCCACCGAGUGUCACAGACAGAGGAUGCACACCCUCCCUGGUGCUGCUGUAGGGACCUGAGGCAGGUCUCCUCCCGGGCCUGGCCUGGAGCCAAGGUGGAGCACAGGCUGGACACGGGCGGCCACACCACCUUCCCGGGCAGAAGAUAAAGAGGGUCCCGCUGAUGAUGACAGCAGCCGACAGGAGGAUUUUCAGGAUCAGGGCUUUGCCGAGAAUCGUGUCCUUGACGUUCCGCGGUGGCUGUCGGAGGGCGUCUUUGUCAACCGGCUCUACCCCCAAGCUGCUCGGAACAAGACAGGGGAACCUUGACAUAAACCGCGAGGACACUUAAAGUGCUGAAGCUGUACAGGCUCUCAGGUCAGCCCCGAAGACACAGCAAAGAGGGGGCUUUGGCCAAGUGCCCCCAGGUCGUUGGCAGGAGCUCAGUCUGGUCCCACUCUUAGGGGGACUUCUCCGUCCUUGCUGGAAGCCCGCCCCUCACAUCCUCUGCCCUCGCCCUAACUCCUUCCAGGGUCCCCACCCCCCACCCCACCGGCCUGGGCGCCAGGGCAGCCACACACCCGUCCCUGAGCACGGCAGGGGAAAACCACCCCCAAGCCAACCACACCACCGUCCUGGAGCCACUCUGGGUCACCCCUCAUGAUCGCACAGCUUCCAUCACAAGGGGACGCCCAGCAGGCUGGAGAAACAGGGUCCAGACACCGCCCCCUAGGGACCCGCCUUCAGCCGAAUGCGCAACAGCGGGACUGGGGCUAGACCAGCAAAAGACGGGACGCGGGGCACCGAGGAGGAAGCCGGCUGCAGAGACGGCUGCCGCCAACUUCCCUCCUGGCCCUGCUCCCAGCGUGUGAAGAGGGACCUCCCCCUGGGCCCGGAGGGACAAAGCGGGACUCCUGCCCUCAGCGGCGACAACUGUGAUAAUUCACGGUGACAUAUAUGUAUCCCAUUUAUAUCACACACACAUACAUAAUCAACAACAGCAUGUAUUGUGUGCUCGAACCCAGUGCCUCGCUUGCUCCUGGAUGUCUGGCUCCCCGACUCUGAAGGUGGUUCUUCCUCCUGCCUGUUCAGCUACCCUCACCCUCCCUCAUCCACCCAACAACUAACUCGCCGACCACCUCCUGUGUGCCCGGCACCGUCCCGGGAGCCGGGAAAUGCUACAAGGAACAAAAACCUUGCCGUAGGGGAAACGGGUCAUAAUCAGAUAAACAAGGACAUACGUAUUUUCUCCUCUAGGGACAAAUAAAGCAGAGUGGGAGAGCCCGGGGGCUGCUGUUAGAGCGAUCACGGAGGACAUCUCCCAAGUGGGGACGUGAAGAGAGGGACUGAGGCGUGGAGUCACCCAGGGAGCACAUCCCCCCCUCCGCCGGCUGCCCAUGCAGGUGCUCCCCCCCAUGCCCAGGGCAUCCCGCUGGCUGUCUUCCCCGCAGUGCGCCACACUCCGGCUUUGCAGGACUCCCGGGGACAGCGUCCCGUACUCGGUGCAAGGGACCCGAGACGGCAGAGUGGGCGGGCGGUGGAGCCUCGCGGACAGCCCGGCGCCUCACCUCUGCGCCGGUGGCCCGUCCAUGAUGAUGUUGAUCCACAGGAUCUGCAUGGCGUUGAGCGGGCUGGGCAGGUCGCACACGGUGGACAGAGUGAUGAGGCUCAAGGCCGAGAUGCUCCUGCGGGCCACACACCGGGCACCGUCGAUGGCUGCACGCGCAGCCCGACGGCCCUCGGAGACGCCGGCCUUGACUUACGUGCUCAGCUGAAACCGCACGAAGUUUUUGAUGUUAUGAAAAAUCCCCUUGCCUUCCUCCACCGCGUUCCUGCAAGAGGACAGAGCGUUUCUUCGCAGAGGGCCCGCUGGGAGCGUCCGGGCACCUCCGGCAGCCGUGGGAGGGAGCGAUGGUGUCACCGCAGGUGGCCUCGCACGCAGGCACCCCUUCCCCUUCCCCCCGCUGGCGGCUCCAGGACAGAGAGGUACAGGAGGACGGUGGCCUGGCCAGCACCACCCGCCGCGGGGGCCCGGACCGCAGGCCAUGAUCACCCUCUGUACGAAGACCAUAGAUUACUCUCCCGCCUGAGCCCAGGGACCCCGCCCUCACCCGGGACUUGGGAAGCACUGACUGCAACCCAGAGAUGCAUCUGGGCGACAGGCACAGCAAGACGGAUCAAACCUGCUAAUUCGCCCCAGGGGGGGGGCCGGGGGGGGGGGGGAGAGAAUUAGGCUGAAAAACAUCCUUGGUAUGUUCAGAAAACCGUAAAGGUCCUUUAAAAACCUUGAUCUUGAGUCACGAAUGCAGAAAACUGCCUAACCCUUUUUUUUCUAAUUUUUUUUUUUUUUUUUGCAAAAGAACUAAAACUACAGAGUUAUUUAUCAACUGCAUCUCAGGACUUUUUUUUUAACUAAGGGGGAAGGGGGCUAAGGAUUCCUAGGGUGAGUCAAUCCAUUUACGAAGACAAGACUCCUCCGUAAAGUCAAAAAUCGCACCCAACUUCAGUUUUUUGCUCAUUCAGAGUUCUGACAGCAGGCUUAAGAAAACUUCCGUGCCACCCCCAAUUAUUACAAUGGAUUUAUGAGUAAAGUCUCGAUGAGAACGAAUUAAAAUCAGACCAGAGGGAAGGGAAACAAGAAACCAGGUGUUUUGCAAUCUCGGGAGCUUGCGAUCACACGAGGGCCAACAAUUAGAGCUCCUGCCCCGUCGUUCGUCGCUUUCAGCGCAUGAAACAUACGCAUCCGCACAAACACGGGCCCUCCAGCCGCACAUGCUCACUCUUAGCGUUUUUCACUUAACCCCACAAUGUGAGCAUUUCUCCGUCUUUAAAACGUUCCCCAAAACGUGAUGUUUCGUGGCUUCGUGGCACUCCCGCCCUUGCUGUCGGCAGUUAGGGUGGCCUAGGAUUUCCCCACAGACGGUGCUGCGGCCGACACAUGGGAGCCCGCCUCCGUCUGUGCACCUGACCCCGGCUCGCCCGUCGGAUGCACCCUCAGGCCGUGAAGGGGGCAUGUCCCGAGGGGGGCAGCGGGUCAUCGCGGGCAUUUCUGCCGCUGAAAACCAGCCAUGGAGCCACUCACAUGAUGGCCGAGAAGUCAUCAUCCACCAGGAUCAUGUUGGCAGCCUCUUUGCUGACAUCUGUCCCCGUCUGCCCCAUGGCAAUCCCGAUGUCCGCAGACUUCAGGGCAACCGCAUCGUUCACCCCGUCCCCCGUCAUGGCCACGACUGCCCCCGACUCCUGCAAAGCCUUUGGAAAGAGGAGAGAAGCUGCAUUUUUAACCGAUUCCCCGGGGGAUGCCACUGGUCUGGGAAGCCCACCUUGAGAACCACCACCGUUUCGGACCAAAAUCUCGGCAGGAGACGCCAAAUGAUCAAAGGUCUGAGUGCCAUCAGCCGGACGGUCCUGUAUUUGACCCUCCGUGGAAGCAGCUGGGAGCGCUCAGCUUUCCUCCUCGACACCUGAAUCUUUAACACCAGCUAAGCCCAUCUAGGAAAAGCAAAUGCCACGCUUCUCGUGAGUCAUCCUGAGCCAGCCUCGCUGCAAAGCUCAGGCCGCCUCCGUUAUUCAUUCGUCAAGCCAUUUCCGGCAGGGGCAGGGCCAGCUGGUCCUGGCGACAGCUUCUGGCCAAAACGUGCUCAGAAACAAAAGCCCGUGGGCUCCCCUCCAGGAGGAAUGUUCCAGACUCAAAGAGCACCCAGACAGAGAGUCUAUCUGUGGGAUUAAAUCUCAUGGGGACUGAUCAGGAACAAAAGAAAUGCCCGAAAAGGCUCUUCGGGAAGGUCUUGUGAAUGACCCUGCAAAAGACGCGUCGACGCCCUAACCCCUCAGUGUCUGCGAACGUGGUCUUGUUUGGAAACAGGGUCUCGGGGGGUGGAACCAAGUUAAGAUGAGGUCGUUCGCGUGUGUCCAGAUCCGAUAAGACGGGUGGUCCUUGGACGAAGGGGACAGGGCCACGUGAAGACGUGUCCGUGAGCCAAGGAGCAUCUGGCAUGACUGGUCACAGGUGGAGGGGAGGGGACCAGGGCGCUGCCCACACCUUCCUUUCAGACCUCCAGCUUCGGGAACCGUGACAGAGUAAAUUCCUGCUGUUGCAGGCACUCAGGUGGCAGUCCUUUAUUUCAGCCACUGCGGGGAAGCUAGCGUGACAGUGGAGAAAUGGUUCAGAACCACUGACCUCGACCCUGAGACGGGUUCGGGGACGGACAUGAUAAACACAGAGCCCCGAGCACCGAGCCUGCCACACGGUCACGGGAGGCACUUCAUACACGUCAGCUGUCACCAGGCUCCCCUACUGGUUCCGGCCCACGGAAGAGUAAAUCGUGACCCGUAAAGGAGAGGGGUUCUGGAACAUCGGUCCUCUCUGGGCUGCACGGGAGGCAGGCGGCGGGAGCAGGGGUGGAGACCCCACACCGGGGUUCUCUCCUGCUGGGACAGUCGGGCCACUGUCCCCGUCCCGGACGGCAGCCUGCGGUUGAACAGGGCCAGCCGGGGCCCUCUCGGAAGAGGCAGUAAGGUCUAGUCGGUAUGACUGUCAUCCUGGAAAGAAUUUUCUUCCCUGAGUGUAACAGUUUCUUAACAUAGCUUGUUUACAGUUAUAGGGACUUUCUGUUUUAAGUUUAUUUAUUUUGAGAGAGAGACAGACACAGAGACAGUAGGGGAGAGGGAGAGAGAGAGAGGGAGAGAGAGAAUC